CUUUAGUUGCCAGCACGUUAUGGUGGGGACUCUAAACAGACUGCCUGUGCAAACAGAGAGGAAGGAGGGGACGACGUCAAUUCAUCAUGGCCCUUACGUCCGGGGCUACACACGUGCUACAAUGGAUGGUACAGAGGGCAGCAAGCUGGCAACAGCAAGCAAAUCUCAAAAAGCCAUUCACAGUUCGGAUAGAGGUCUGCAACUCGACCUCUUGAAGUUGGAUUCGCUAGUAAUCGCGUAUCAGCAAUGACGCGGUGAAUACGUUCCCGGGCCUUGUACACACCGCCCGUCAAGCCAUGGAAGUUGGGGGUACCUAAAGUAUGUAACCGUAAGGAGCGUCCUAGGGUAAAACCGAUAACUGGGGCUAAGUCGUAACAAGGUANCCGUACCGGAAGGUGCGGCUGGAUCA
rnacentral:rRNA from 1 species